AGAUUGAACGCUGGCGGCAUGCUUUACACAUGCAAGUCGAGCGGCAGCGCGGGGGCAACCCUGGCGGCGAGCGGCGAACGGGUGAGUAAUGCAUCGGAACGUGUCCCGUAGUGGGGGAUAACCCGGCGAAAGCCGGACUAAUACCGCAUAUGCUCUACGGAGGAAAGGGGGGGACCCGCAAGGGCCUCCCGCUAUGGGAGCGGCCGAUGUCCGAUUAGCUUGUUGGUGGGGUAAUGGCUUACCAAGGCGACGAUCGGUAGCUGGUCUGAGAGGAUGAUCAGCCACACUGGGACUGAGACACGGCCCAGACUCCUACGGGAGGCAGCAGUGGGGAAUUUGGACAAUGGGGGCAACCUGAUCCAGCCAUGCCGCGUGCGGAAGAAGGCCUUCGGGUGUAAACCGCUUUGUCCGGAAGAAAGGCACUCCUAAUACGGGUGUUCUUGACGGUACCGAAGAAUAAGCACCGGCUAACUACGUGCCAGCAGCCGC
rnacentral:rRNA from 1 species